rnacentral:rRNA from 1 species
CCCCCCCCCCCAUGCCGACAACUCCAUCCGAACUCUCUACCCCUACCAGACCAUUAUGUACCCAUACAUAAGUGAUUCUGCUAAUAUGAGUAAUAAGGAGGCCCAAAGGGCCCCCUCCUAGCACACGUGUACAGCGAAACGAACCCCCACCGCCACCUAACGACGCCACUACAAGAGGCAACUGGGUUACAAAUAGAACACUUAAAAGGCCACCCAGAACACGCACGUUAACCCCACACUGGAGUGCACUAAGGAAAGACUUAAUGAAGGAAAAGGAACUCGGCAAACUAAGGCCUCGCCUGUUUACCAAAAACAUCGCCUCCCGCACACAAAGAAUGGGAGGUCCCGCCUGCCCCGUGACUAUGUGUUUAACGGCCGCGGUAUAUUAACCGUGCAAAGGUAGCGCAAUCACUUGUCUCUUAAUUGGAGACCUGUAUGAAUGGCAUAACGAGGGCCUAUCUGUCUCUUUCUUCGGGUCAGUGAAAUUGAUCUUCCCGUGCAGAAGCGGGCAUAUAUACACGGGACGAGAAGACCCUGUGGAGCUUGAAACACGGGAGGACUCAAAUCAAACACCCCCCUCAAGAGGACUAACACACUGACCCUUCCUCACAUGUUUUCGGUUGGGGCGACCAAGGGAUACAGCACAACUCCCACGUGGACUGGAACACACUCCACAGCCAAAACCCACCUGUUUAAGCACCAGAAUAUCUGACCUACGGAUCCGGCAGAGCCGAUCAACGAACCAAGUUACCCCAGGGAUAACAGCGCAAUCCUUUCUUAGAGCCCUUAUCGACGAGUGGGUUUACGACCUCGAUGUUGGAUCGGGACACCCUAAUGGUGCAGCCGCUAUU